AUCUUUAUGCGCAAAACAUUGCUUUUGAGCAAAAAAUGAUGGAUGGACUUAUUGUAUACAACUCAAAAUCAAAGUAGAGAUAUUUUAAAUGGUUUUUUAAAGUAAAAAUCAAAAAAUUCAAUAAAAUAAUCUUUUAAACUAUUGAAUUCGCCCUCCAAAAAUAAAGUGUAAACUUCAGAUCUGGUUUGUACAAGAUCAUGUUCAAAUAAUAUGAAGAAUUAUAUCCUUCAUGGAUCAUAGAGUAGUAAUGUAACUAUUCAUUACGAUGAUCAUUUGUAUUUUAGGGAUAGACAACUUCAUACAUACUUUAUUGAUUACUCAUAUUCCCAAUUUAAAAGUUUAGAAGGAUGAAAAUAAUGUAGUUUUAAGUCAUUACAAUUAAUUGAGCUAGGAAAAGUGCAUGUAUUUUCACACAGAGUUGAAUGGAUUUGGAAUUUCCCCAUUAAUGUUGGAUUCAUAAUGUAAUUAAUUCACAGGGAUGAACAUGAUUCUUAUGUUUGGUGCCAAAAUAGAACCAAUUAGAAAUAUCAGUCAGACUAUUAAUUUUCUAUAUUCCCAUUCAUGAUAUUUAAAGGUUUUUUGAAGACAAACCAAAUAAUAUAAAGAGUUCAUUUCAGCCAUGUCUAGUAGAUUAAUAAGGAUGAAUUCAUUUUCUUCUCAAAACUCGGUCAUUUUCAUGUUCUUCAAGAUUUUUGACUCUUCCAAAGACACGAGGAAUGUAGAGUUUUCAUCCUCAUAGCUUGCUCCUUUCUUUAUGUACAAAAAUUGUGUAAGAGUGACGUAUAAACAUUGAUUUUGCGUCCCGAAUUUUGAUAUUUCUCUUCUUCAACUUCUUUAUUUUCUAUGCUUCAUAGACUCCAAGUUGGAUUUUUAGGUUGAUAUUAAUAUCCUUUAAAUAUUUUACCUCAGAAAAAAUAUCUGUAAUACAUAUAAAGCAAUUAUUAUUUUUUAAAGAUAAAGUAACUAAUGCAAAAACACAAUAUUAACAUGAUAAGAAGUUUCAUCUUAUAUUGUUGAUGAAAUUAUAUUCAUGUCUCCAUUUACAGAAGUAGUAGGUUCUAAAUAAGGAGUAAAGUAUGUAUGAUCCUGACAUUGUUGAGAUAGUUUUUUAACUAAAAUUUGAUCAAAAAAGUUGCUUAAUUACUAAAUUAAUUAAUUUGCUUACCAUCCCCAUUGUUCUCCAGAAGGAAAAUGGGAUUGUUGGAGUUUUUGCUGAAACUUUAGGUUUUGCAUGUAUAAACAAAAUGCUCAUAAUCAAUAAUUGGAAAGUUCUUCAACUAAUAUAUAGUAUUAAAUUUUGAAUGUUUUGGGUCGUGACUCAAACGCAUGAACAAGUCAGCUAUCGGUCUAAGCGGAUAGUUUGGUGUGUAUUGGUAGUUUUGAGCACACUAAAAGACUUUAACGAUUACAUUAGUGGUUGGAACAAAUUUGAAGUUGGCAAAGUCUUCAGGAGUCUUUUUAAAAGGAGGCAUCUCAUCAUCACCACCACUGGUUAUACGUUCAACCUUUUGCAUAAAUGGAAGAUCAAGAUCUCGCAAUUUAUCGCUGAAGUAUUUCUCCUUUGUUACAAGAUUCAAGGGGGAUUAUUCAUGAGUCAAUUUUGGGCCGGAUUCCCCCUUUCUUUAAUUGGCUGUUGUGAUAAACUGGCUCCCUCACAUAUAAUCAUAACCCUAAUUGCAUCACACAGUUUUACCUCCAAAAAGAGAAUUUACUGAAAGAAGUUUUUUGCAGGUGUAUUUUUAAUCAAUAAAUAUAAUCA
rnacentral:lncRNA from 1 species